GCUGAUCGCAUUUGAAAAUGUGAAAUUACUGCAGUUCUGGCUAGAAGUUUCAGGAAAAUGUUGCGUUCCAUAGUUUUCGGUUUGCUCAUCUGUGUGAGCCUACAUUUGUUGCUGACUGUUAAUGCUGGCACUUCAGCUGCAGUGAAUUCAGCGCUUCAAUCCGCAAGCUCUUUUCAACUUUCCAGCAAAACCGUUGGGCAUGUAAAACAUGGGCGUGGUCAAAGGCGCAAUGGUACAACAACCACCACCACAACAGCUGCUCCAACGACAUAAUUCUGUAUAGAGAAAUUCAAUAAUCAAAUAGUGAUAAAUUAGAAAACUUUAUUUUAGAAAAUUAUUUAAUUUGGUGGUGUCAAAAUAUUUGAUAAAUGUCAAUAUAAAUUCUGUGCUAAUGACAAUGAAGAGUUAAUGAAAAUGACGUGCGGGUUCCUUGAGUGAAAUCCCAACUUUAAUGCUAUUGUUUUGGACUGCAGAAGUUUCCAACAUCUUCUAGAUUCCGGUUUUUCAAAGGAUUUCAAAGGAAAAUAAAGCUAGCAAAUUUCCGUUGAACCGCA